UACGUAGGGGGCGAGCGUUGUCCGGAUUUAUUGGGCGUAAAGAGCUCGUAGGCGGCUUAGCAAGUCGGGUGUGAAAACUCCAGGCUCAACCUGGAGACGCCACUCGAGACUGCUAUGGCUAGAGUCCGGUAGGGGACCACGGAAUACCUGGUGUAGCGGUGAAAUGCGCAGAUAUCAGGUGGAACACCGGUGGCGAAGGCGGUGGUCUGGGCCGGAACUGACGCUGAGGAGCGAAAGCGUGGGGAGCGAACAGG
rnacentral:rRNA from 1 species